AGUGCCGAGUUAAAAGAGGCAUGGUGAUCUUCUUUUACUUCUAAAUCCGCCUUCCGACUAGGUUUCAUAGUAAUCUUUCGUGUAGUCUAAAGUAGACAGUGUAGCCCAUCUCUUUCCACUUCAUAUGCUGCACCUUGACCUGACGUGUUGGCGUGGGGGCGUUAAGCUCACUAGUUAGCGCUCACGGGGUAAGCUGACGACGGAGGUAUACAGGCUGAAAAACUAGAAGAGGUGAGGUAAAACGGGGGUUAUCGAUUAUAGGACAGGCUCCUCUAGGUGGAUUUGGGGUACCGUCAAGUCCCUUGGGUUUUAAGCU
rnacentral:rRNA from 1 species